GCCGAGCCAUUCAUGUUUACUUACAUCUAGUCUGUUACAUGCUCUGUGAGCCGAGCUGUGGGAUGUGACGAGGGUGAGUGUUGCUAUCGCACGUCUGCCGGUCAAAGGUCAGCGAGGCGACAGGGGCAGUGAGCAAGGUGAGCAUUUACUCGGCUCUUUAGAAAUCCGAUAAAGCAAGAUGGAUUUCACUUACGAGAGAGGGACGCUUGAGAACAUCAAAGACGCCAAAGAACUUCGACGCCACCUGACAGACCUGGGAAAAGUCAUCACAGACCCAACAUUUCCACACUCUGAGACAGUCGGAGAGGAGACCAAAUGUUUCUUGUCAGACUUGCUGUCAGCUGUCAACACGGCUGGUGCUCUGGAAGAGGUUUACAAUGAAAUACUGGACUUGGCGCUGGACUUGACAGUGAAGAAAGUCGGGUGUGAUGGAACGAAACCUCAUUUCGAGGCUAUCGGCGAUUUCUUCAACAGCAUUGAGCCAAAGAAUGUCAAGGGAAAAGGAAAGCUGUUCGAAGGUUUGAUCACGAAGUUCAUUCACCUACUGGAUCACGUGAAGGAUGAGACGUACCUGACACUGACGUUUGCAAAGCCAGUGAUGGAAGAGUGCCUCAGUCCAGCCAUGGGCAAAUCGAAAGAACACGUGGAGCUGUGGAUUGCCAUGGUCAAGUCGCUCCUUAAACACCACACCUCCCAGUGCCUAGAGGCCGCGUACUAUGCUUUGCGAGAGAAAGAAAAUCUUCUGAAAUGGAAGCAAUAUUCAUCGCACGUGAAGGAGCUGUUCCAGCUGCUGUCUAACUUCACAUUACCCGACUGGUUAACAGAUACGGAAAGAGAGGAGUGUUACGAAUACCACAACAACACGGUGGAACAUCUGCUCCAGGGCUUCGAAACUGCGAAACUGGUCGGGGAAAUCACAGGCGACAUGGUUCACCGCGCUCUCGACAUCAUGGAGUCUCGCAAUCCUGAGCUGUUUGCAGCGGGCAAAGAGAUCGCCAACAAAAUAUCUUUCAACAUUAAAAAAGAUAAGGCCUUAAUCAUGGAGACGGUGAGGCGGAUAACCGCGGCUCUAGCAGACGAUUCCUACGGCUGGAAUGGCGAAGGAGACUACUGGAAACUCAACGGUUUGACGAUAGACCUCUUUGCCAAAGCCAUGGAUUGUGUUAAAGACGGGAGAGCAUUCACGUGGGAAGAGUAUGAUGAGCUCAUAGCACUGGUGAAGUUUUGCCAGGAAGCGGACCCAAUCCACCCGGAGACUGGAAGUGCCGGCAGUGUGACUUAUAUCCUGCUCUGCCAAGCUGGGUUCAAAGUUAUAGCCUGGCUGAAGACGAUGAACGAAAUCCAGCGAGCGGCGCCCCUGGUGCCCGGAGUCCUGGACAUGCUCACAUCCUAUGAUGACAAUGUCAGAAGCAUUGCCAGUGCCAUGAUGACCAUCAUCAGCUUAUCUGGCGACCUCUUCGCACCCUACAUCGACAGGGUGAUCAAGAUGUUCCUGGACACGGAGGACAGCAGUCUCCUCACUAGCGUUCUGUACAGUUACGAAUACAACCCCCAGCCGCUGGCCGAACAUUUUCAGGCUCUGUUCAACUACCUGGACAGCGGAGACAGCUCUGUACGGAGCAACAUGCUGCAGCUUAUACAGAAAGUAGCUAAACACCAACCAGAUCUGUUUACGAAGGAUAACAUGGUGGCUCUGAUGAAAGAAGCCAGGGAGGACGCAGGGAACCAGAUACAGCUGCUGAUGACAAUGGAAGAGAUCACAAAGAAACGGUCGGACAAGAUCACGCCUCACCUGAACGAGCUGAUGAACCUUAGCCUCUGGCAACCUUUGUCCCUGUCCUUUAUAAAUCGGAUACUUCAGUUCUACGCCCUGAAGCUGGAAGGGAAUAACGAAGCAGGCAUCCCAGAAAUAAUGAAUUGCAUGAUAAAACAAGUCGAGACCUAUGAUGACAAGACGGCAACCCUGGCUGCACUCAAUGCCAUGAGGCUGAUUGGCUACAAACACCGUGCCGCCAUUGAAAAGCAUCGUUCGAGGAUAGAGAAGAUUAAAGAGGAAACGAAAGACGGAGACUACAGAAUUUUGUGUGGUCAGAUCCUCGACAUGCUGGACGGAAGAAGUGUGGAUAAGAUCGUCGACGAUUUGAAAGCUCUUCAAGUGGAAGUCGCUGACAUUGACAUUCGCGUUAACGACAACGAGAAAGUAGUAACUGAGGUCAAGGACACGGUGAAACGUCAAGGGCAGGACAUUGACAUCGUCAAGAAGGACGUAGCAGGUCAAGGACAGCGCCUUGAUCAGGUGGAGGAGACUGUUGAGGACACGGUUAUCAAAGUGGAGGAGAUCGAUGGCAAGACGUUAAGCCACGCCCCGUUCUGGUCACGUGACGUGGCGAAACUCCUCAACCCUGAAGCAGAACACGACUGGCGCCUUCUGUCCAGUCGCCUUGGUUACAGCAACGACGACAUACGGAGCUGGGCCCAGCAGCACGACCCGUGCAUGGCGAUGCUCAACGAGUGGUACGCCACUCACAAGACAAGGGAGGCCACUUUCGCGGUGCUGACGGCCCUUCAAGCCAUGAGCCGAUUAGAUGCUGCUGUGAUCGUAGAAAAUGCCAUGAAGAAUGCAGAAGCUGUGGUGGAAGACGAGGAGUUUGAAUACACCAAGCCCCCUGACAUCUUCCUCAGCUACCAGUGGGGCCACCAGAGCGAGGUGCGACUGCUACGCCAACAUCUGGAGAUGGCUGGCUACAGCUGCUGGAUGGACGUGGGUCAGAUGGGUGGGGGCGACAAGCUGUUCGAGAAAAUCGACUCCGGGAUCCGCGGCGCCAAGGUGGUCAUCAGUUGUGUGACAGAGAAGUACGCCAAGUCGCCCAACUGUAACAGAGAGGUGAACCUGUCCGUCAGUUUGGGCAAACCUAUCAUCCCUUUGCUGAUGGAGAAAACAACAUGGCCGCCACCUGGUUCCAUGGGCCCCAUCUUCAGCGAAUACCUGUUCGUCCGCUUUUUCCAGCGAGACAAGGAGCAGACAACUGACCAGCGGUACUGGCCCUUGGAUAAAUUCCAGGAGCUGCUCAUGCAGUUGUCCAUGAACGGAGUCACUCCGGACGAAGCUGCAGUGCAGCCAGAGUACAAAAACUGGUGGAUUCCAAAGAUCGAGGAGGUUACGGUGGACAAAAACCGAUCUAAAAAAGGCGAAACUCAAUCUGCGCCAGUCGCCGCUGCAACUUCCGAUAAGGUAUCGGCCUCGCCAGACGUCUUCAUCUCUUACCAGUGGGGUAGACAACCACAGAUCGUGAAGCUGUAUCGAUCAUUAACUGCCCUUGGCUACACGUGCUGGCUGGACAUAAUGCAGAUGGGGGGAGGCGACUCGUUAUACGACAAGAUUGACCGCGGGCUGCGAGGUUGUCGCGUGGUGUUGUCGUGCGUCACCCCCAAGUACGCCUUGUCCGCCAACUGCAGGCGGGAGGUGAGUUUAGCUGAUGCGCUUCACAAGCCAAUUGUUCCUCUGUUGCUGGAGACUACUUCUUGGCCUCCCCCGGGACCGAUGGGACCGAUACUUACUCAGUUGUUGUACAUAGACUGCACGGGUGACCCCAGCCUCCAGGAGAAGUGGCAAGGGUCAAAGUUUGACGAGAUCGUGGCCAAGAUUGACCAGCACAUCAACCCCUUGACAACCAGCGUGGUACAGUCGCAAGUAAACCCACAGGUCAAAGACCCUCGUCCUAAAGAUGCAACAGCAGCACCACCAGAUCGUGAGGGGGUGAAGGGGAAAGGUGAAAACCAAUCUCAAGACCAUUUCGGGAAAAAUGAUAACAAUAAUGUUGCGAGAACUGUCUCAGAGACUUCAUUGUCAAGCAAGAACGGGCACGAAGGACACAAUGAAUCUUACAAUCGCGGGGCCAUGCCCAGAAUGGCGCAGGUGAAGACUACUUCAGGAUGCUGUGUGAUUUCGUAGACCGGAAGGUUGCGUGGACCAUUCAGGAGGAAAAGAAAAAAGUUCUGUAGGGAUCCCGAUAAGUCAUAAUACUUGACUGUGAAUGUGGUAACAGGUUCCUGUAAAAUAGUGGACAACAGCCAUUGCCUUUCAACUUUACCUGUUGGUGUUUCACAAAAGUGUUACUUUAUUUUUGAACGAAAUUUGCCUUAACAUUAAAAACAGCAACAACAAUAACGACAGAAUUUAACACGACUCUAAUCGAGAAUAAUAAUAAUUAUGGAAUUAGAUGUUUCUUAAUGUGGACACAACAUAAAAUUUUGCGUAGAGUGUAAGUUUUUUGUAGCUCAUCUGGAGAA